UCCCUACAAAAUUACCGAGUUUCAUUAUCUUAUCUAUUCUCCUCAAAAGACCAAAACAGAUUCCAAACUAGGAAGAAAUAUUUUACUUGGCCAAGGCCAACAAGCCAUCUUGGCUAUAACUGUGAGUCUGUGACCUAAUCAAUGUUUGGAAAAACUUGAUAUUUUCAUUGACUAUGAACUAUAUAUGUAAAUACACAUUCAUUCUGAGUUCACAUGCACAGCCCCUUAUGCGUGUGAUCAAAACCUCGCUUCAAAUUCAUGUGAUCAAAGGUAAAAAAAAACCUAUAAACUUCCCCUAAUACUCCUGAUUUCGCCUGAAGGAACAAAUGUGUUGAUGUUUCAAGGCGGCAAUUACACCACACACAACUUACCCCCUCUUGAUGAGGUAAAACUCCUCUCAUGAGGAGGUUGGACCUUGUAGUCACACGGUCAUAAAGUAAUUGCCAUGAAAAAACAAUUACUUUUGAAGGAGCCGGACUCUCCCAAAUCUUAGAAAAGAUUUUUGCCUCACAAAGAGGUAAAGGGGGCACUUCAUUCAAUUCUUUUGAGAGCGAAUCAAAAGCCGACUAUACCGAGAAAAAACCCAUCGGAGAUUGAAUAAGCAGAACUUACAUGUCUAAUCUACGCUGCUAUUUUGUGCUACAUAAAUUUACCGUCACUAAUUCAAGCAAAUUCAACAAACAAACAACAUUAGGCUUUCAAAUUAUCUCAUUUAGCAUUAUUUAAUAAUUGAAAGCUGUAAAGUUAUCAAAUAAUCAAAACUAAAGCAAGUUGAACAUGUGGCAGUAGCAUAUGAUGAAUUAUUUGUUAACAAACAUAACAUACAACAAUUUCCCUAUCAAAGAAGCAAAAGUUUGCCACUUCCUAUUGAAUGAAAACAAGAGUUUUUUUCUUGUUUCCAAAAAUUUUAAGGAAAAUGCUAAACAGUGCCCCCGGCACUGUUUAAGCAUAUAAAUAUGGAAAUUUUGUCUCGGAACUUGUGCAUUCAAUGCAUCGAAAAUGUAAAAAGUUAUUUUAUCAAUAUUAAUUUUAUCUUUUGUUUCUAUAUUUGGUAUGCUUAACAAGUGCCCAACCCCGGGGGCACUGUUUAGCAUGACCCUUUUAAGGAAAAUUUGGGGGCACUGUUUAGCAUGACCCAAAUUUUAAAACAGCUAAUUAUUUUUUUCAGUACACAAAUCUGAAGAAAAAGCAAUUAAACGACUUCAAUGACCACCUCUACAGGCAUGGCAAUAUAACCUAUACCUGCGGGCACCCACCAGUCCAGUCCCUCCCCGAUGUUGACGGGGAAAAACCGAUUUGACUGGGUUUGAGUUUCCCCUUAAUUUAAAAUACGGGGGUGGAGCGGAUAAUGGGGACAUUGAUACAAUGAUACCCACCGCGAAUCCGUCCCCAAACCCGCUCCGCGUAUAUCUAAUUACAUUUUACCUCUCUUAAAUUAUAAACUCUUAAACAAAGUCUUAAAUUAUAUUCAAUUGUUUGUUUUUAUUUUUAAGUUAUGUAUUAAACAAAGUUGUUUUUU
rnacentral:lncRNA from 1 species